rnacentral:lncRNA from 1 species
UUCUAUUAUUUCUUUGAGCACACUAUAAUAAUCAAUAUCUCCAAUAUGGUUGCUAUCACCACCUUGAACACUAUAACGACCCGACCGGCCGUUUUGAGCUUUUGCACUUGGAUCGCCAGUUCUUGGGAAUGACUUGCCAUGUGUGAUGUAUUAUGACUCAUGUAAAUAUUUGGUUUUGGUUUUCAGGGUAAAUCGGCAUGAAAUUUGGAAGAACAGUUCUCAGUUUGAAGCUUGUAAUUCGAAAGGUUUGACCAAGAUUUAACUUGUUUGUAGAUGAUCUCAGAUCGAAAUUUUUAUGAUUUGGUUAGUUCCGUUAGGUGAUUUGGGACUUAGGAGUGUGAUCGGAAUGCAUUUUGGAAGUCUGUGGAAGGUUUAGGCUUGAAUUGGCGAAAUUGAGAUUUCGGCGUUUUCUGGUUGAUAGGUGAGAUUUUGAUAUAGAGGUCAGAAUGGAAUUCCGGAAGUUGCAGUAGUUUCGUUAUGUCAUUUGGGAUGUGUGUGCAAAAUUUCAGGUCAUUCGAACAUGUUUUGGUUGGGUUUUGAUCAAAAGCGAAAUUCGGAAGAUUUUAGAAAGUUUGGCUUGAAUCCGAUGUGUUUUGGGUGAUUUGAUGUUGUUUGAGGUUUUUCGAUGAUCGGAACAAGUUUGAAUAAGGUAUUAGAAUAUGUUUGUUCUUUUGGUCGAGGUCCCGGGGGCCUCAGGGUAAUUUCAAGUUUGGAUUUUGUUGCAGCUGCUAAAUUUACUACUUCUAGUAUUUUUGCACCUGCGGAUUCCGCAUAAGCGUAGUUUUAGUCACAGAAGCGUAAAAGGGAUUGAGGAGAAGGAACCGCAGAAGCGGCUAUGUGGACCGCAUCUGCGGAGCCGCAGAUGCGAAAGUGUGAUCGCAGAUGCGUAAUUUCGGUUGUUUAGUGAUUUCCGCAGAAGCGGGCGAGAGACUGCAAAUGCGGUACUGCAGAUGCGGGUCGUAGUGUCAUAAGUGAAAUUCGCAGAAGGGAUGUUUUUCCAUAGUAGCGGAGGCGCAGAUGCGCUUAUAGGAUCGCAGGUGCGAAAGAGCUAGGCAGAGGAUAUAAAAAUGCCCUUUGCGAUUUUUAGUCAUUUGUUCACCAUUAUUGUGCGAUUUUGGAGCUCCAAGCUAUGAUUUCAAGAGGGGAUCAAGUGUAUCCACAAAGGUAAGCUACUUGGGCUUUAUACCUUGUGUUUAUGGUGAUUAUAUCAUUGUUUAAUCAUGAAAAAUUGGGGGAAAUUAGAGGAAGAGUUGGGAAUUUAGGGCUUUAAAUUGGAGAGUGAAUAUUUAGAAUUUGAGUGACCAGAUGAGGUUAGAUUUUGGUAAAUUUGAUAUGUAUGAACUCAUGAGAGGAUGAAGAUUCCAUUGAUGUUAAUUUUAUCGAGUUUCGAGACGUGGGCCCAGGGGCCGGGUUUGAGCAAUUUUGGGAUUUAGAUGUAAAUUGGAUAUUUUUGAGUAGGCUUCGUUCCCUUUGCAUAUUUUAAUGAUUAUGUACUGAUUGUGGCUAGAUUUAGAGCAUGCGGAGGUCGAUUUGUGUGGGCGAAGGCAUCGUGGGCAAGAGGUUGGACCGGAUUGAGAUGAGUAAUGAUUGUAAAUGAUGUUCUGAGGGUUUGAAACCCCGUAUUGCACAUCGUAGUACUAUAUUAAGGUGAGGCACAUGCUUGAUGACGAGCGUGGGGUCGUGCACUAUUGGGGACUGUGACUUGGUCCGUCCUGAUUGAUGAUUUUACCGCAUAUUUGACUGAAAUCUAUUUGCUAUCAUCAUUAUUUGGGCUGAAUGCCAUAUUUGGGCUUCGUGCCAACUAUUUAAACCCUUCAAAGAUUUUUAUUGAUAUUUUCUCACUGUUUUGACUUUAAACUUGUACUCAGUCAUGCUAUAUUCUACUGUUUUCAAAACUCAAUCAUGUUUACUCUACUUUAACACUUGAAGCGAUAUUUUAAAUCAUAUUUUGGGUUGAGCAUCAUGUUUUACUGUUGCUCGAGUGGCUUAUAUGAUUUUUGACUGAGUAAGGCCGAGGGCCUGUGUUGUGAGGAUACUUUUGGGUCGGGCUGCACACUGCAGCGGUGAUACACUAAUUUGAUUACGAGGCCGAGGGCCUGAGAUAUGUACGCCACAAGGUGGUUUGUUGAUAUUGAUAUGAGGCCGAGAGCCUGUUUAUGAUGCCACGAGGUGGCUUGAUAUUGCGCUUAGGUCGUAAAGGGCCCCUCCAGGAGUCUGCACACCCCCAGUGAGCGCGGGUACCCAUUGUGAUGUGAGAUAUAGCCCGAGGGGCUGGUAUUGUUCUUAGAUAUUGCCCGAGGGGCGAACCUUAUGUGCUUAUCUUUCUUAUUUGCCUGUCAUAUACCUGUUUAAUUGUGUAUUUGUGCCCGAGGGGCGAUUUCUAUGCUUAUCUGCACUAAUUGUUUUGCAUUCAUUUGCACAACUAUUGAAAAAGUCAUUUUCAAAGAAGUUUAAACUGAGCUAAGACAUUUUAAGAGAUUUUACAGCUUCAUUGCUUUCUUACUAGUUUUUGAACUGCUUCUAUACAACAUGUUGAUGCACUUUUCGUGAUUUCUUACCAUAGACUUUAGUUAUGAUUAUUACUCACUGAGUUGGAGUACUCACUUUACUCCCUGCACCUUGUGUGCAGAUUCAGGUAUUUUUGAACCCGAUAGCGGGUAUUGGCUGAUCGGAAGCAGAGUCAUCAAAGUUUAGCAAGGUAGCUGCCGGUGUUCGCAGCACUGCUUUUCUCCCUCUUUAUUUCAUUAGUUCGUAUUUUGUAUGUUCAGACUUUUCAGUUGUAUUUAGACCCCAGUAGAUGCUCGUGACUUGUGACACCUUGGUUAGGGCUGUGUUGGGUUGUAUUUCCGCAUUUUUAUCGAUAUUAUCUGCUACUUCGUAUUAUUAAUAAUGUCUUAGACUGUUUUACUGCUGUUUUUUUAACUGUUUAACGUCGAACUGUGAAUAGUUAGUUGGCCUUAUCUUCACGAGAGGAGCCAUCACGAUCGGGUCCGGGUUAGGGUCGUGACUAGUUGGUAUCAGUGCUUAGGAUACAUAGGUCUCACAAGUCAUAAGCAGGUUUAGUAGAGUCUCGCGGAUCGGUACGGAGAUGUUUGUAUUUAUCCUCGAGAGGCUGCAGAACCUUUAGGAAAAACUUCACAUUCUUGAAUUCUUAUCGUGCGUCCUUGAUUCAGCUUGAAAUGUAACUCCUUGAAUUCCUUCCACGCGUUCGUAUGCGCAUAUGAGCACUCAGUAUCAGAUAUGAAUUGAUGGCUUGUGAUUCCCUAAUCGAGGGGCGAAAUGUGAUCUCUGUGAGUUGAUGUUGGGCCAGUCCGGAGGACUUGAGGUCGGAUCUUUGCCUAUGUCUUGAGCACCGAGGUGCUGAUUGUGUGAGCAAGUAUUUUUGAAUUUAUAUUUUCGGCAGUGUCCCUAUUAGUGGAUAUGAUGGCGGGAUGGCUAUGUGAUGAGUAUGUUAAUACUGCGAGAUGUACCCAUAUGAUUUGGAUGAGACAAGAAGGGUCUGCUGGAGGAUAGAAGAACUAUUAGGUGCUUGAUUUUCAUCUCGAUUGGAGGUAUAGCCCCGAGUUAUGGGCGUGUGAAGAAUCUUUUCAUGUUUCCCAAUUGUGAGUGAAGUAAAUUUCAUGUUGCGGUAUGAGUUCAGACUUAGGAAGACUAAGUGACUGCGUACAGUUUAUGACGGUGGGGAGGUAUACAGAAAUGUUAGUUGGAGGCAAAGUAGGUGGGUUAUCUCAUGCGAAGUGUUCUGAGGUUGAGCGAUCCUUAUGUGUCUGUUAGAAGAUCUCAUUUGCGAGCGAAAGAUAUGUGUUGUAAUUUAAAUUGGGUCACUUACAGAGUGGGUGUAACUGUUGUGAGAGUGAAUGCGAGAUUUGCAGAAGAGUUAAAAUUCUAGAUGAUCUGUGUUUUCACAAGCUUGCAAAGGAUUUUGAGUUUAAUCUCACUAUGGUAUUAUGGCAUCAAUAGAGUAUAAGCGUUAUAAGUUAUUGAGCAUGUGUUGAUCUAUGGCUUCGAGCCAAAUGGGGGAGUCUCUUAUUGAUUAGUUGAUUGCACGGUUAUGUGCUAUGUCGAUUCCAGUUUGAGGCAUCUAGGUGAAUCGGUUAUGGCCUACGGAGAUUGAGACCGAGGAUGGCUCGAGUAAAGGAAAAUUCUUAACAAAGAUUAUAGGAUGCUUCACAGGUGUGUGAGAAUCACGGGAUGUCUUGAGUCGUUGUUGGUAAAGGAUGCUCGGUGCAUAGAGCAGGAAGUUGCUUGGUUGUAAUGGAAUGAUGUCACAUUCUGCGGUGUCAGAGUGCCAAUGAGGCAUGGGUUGUUCGGUUCGUUUGAUCAGGCUAAUUGCAGUUUGAGUAGGGUAGAUGACUCUCGUGAAUGGUUCUAAUGGGUCAAGAUUUUACAUGUAACAACUGGGUAUCUUCAAGUUGUAUAUGUGGCUAGAAACUGAGUUUUCAUUGGAAGAUGGCAAUACUUGUGGUAUUUUCUAUAUUAAUUCUGGGAUUCUAUAUAUCAGUGUCAGGAAGGAGAAGGUAAUGGCUUUGGAUUCGUAGGAAGUCUCUUCAGGGUAAGCAUUUUGAAUGUGGUGCUUUUAGAAACAUUUAAGAGAGUACUCAGCGGCUUAUGAGCCUUGAACAGUGUGGUUUUAUGCUUGGGUCUAGUGUGGUAAGUCUGGGUUGAAGAAUGGUGAUGUUAUAGCAAGAAGGAGUAUCAAGUCGAAGGUAAAUCAAAAGGGAGCUUGGAUAGAUGGGAUAGCUUGAUAGCAGGCCGGACCGGUAUGAUAAGGAUAUGAUUAGUUCCUUGGGGGUAUUCGAGGUAAUGAGUUUUUACGGGUAUUUCGCGAUAAUGCUCUUGGGUUUUAGUGGCCUGCAUAGGUUAAUUGAGUUAGGAAGAUUCAGUCCUAACGGACUUGUUUAUGAAAAGGGGAGGGGGAGAGUUCUUGUUGAUUUCUACCGUGGCUAGAGAUGUAUAUUUUCUACUGGCAUGAGGGGCAUGGGAUGUGUAGUGAUUUUCUUCCAGAUGAGUUCAAUGGAAAGUCUUGGUUGGUUGGGUACAUAGUUGCUGGUGGCUCAGAGAUAUGAAGUCCUCAUGUUAUCCUAGAAUGGUAUGGUAUAUGCGGUAUGCUGUGGAGGAUUGAGAUUGCGUGUGUAAGGCUACAGUUCAGUUCUGAAAGGAAGGUCAUAAAACUCUUAGGCAGUGGGUAGUCUUAGACAAUUAGAGAAAUGAGCUUCAGAUAAUUAGAAAAAUGGUUUUCGAAUGAUUAAGGAAAUGAUAUUGCUAAUUUGGGGUGAUUUGAUAAGGGUUUAUGUUUCAGAAAAAGGCAAUGUGAUUAAGUUGAUGGUACUUUGGUAGUAUUGCGGCACUUUCUUGUUAGAUCGAUUGCUAAUAUUCAAGUUUGCUUGGUGGCACAAAAGAAUUUUAGAGUAUCUCUCGUGGAAUGAUUAGGUAUUUGAGGUGUGGUAUGCCUUAAGAUAGUGGAAUUGGGAUCAGGUAUGGUGAUUCACGUGCUAUAUGGAGUUGGAGACUGGGAAUUCUCAUGUUCAGGCUAUGUUGUGGUUGUGGGUCGCGUGUAUUGGCAUUGUCUAGUGACUAUCGGGGUUUGGAGACUCAAGCAAAUCUUUUGUUGCUUGAUAUGUUAGAUUUUGGAUAUGAUAUUUGGUUCAAACUGGUUGUCUCUGUGUUGUGUCAUUCUGGACUAUUGCGCUAAGGCGGCGCUGUUGGCUAUGCCGGAAAUGCCACGGAUUGAGCUGCGAGGUUCGACGGAAUAUAUUCUUGGUAGAGUGGUUUCAUAUUUCGAAGACCCAGCGGAGGGCUGGGAAGCAUUGCCUUCCUUAUUUGGGCUCUCGAGAGGGAUGUCAGUGCGGAAGCUCCUCAUAUUGAUUCAGUUCCGGUGGUGAGGGACUUUUCGAAUGUGUUUCUUGUGGUCGGGCAUGUCGCCAGGCAAGGUUGUUGAUUUUGGUAUUAAUUUGAUGUCGGGCACCGUAUUGUAUGGCACCGACAGAGUUAAAGGAGUCGAAGGAGCAGCUUUAGGAUUUACUUGAUAAGGAGAUUGUUGGCAGGCCAAUGUAGAUGCGUGUUCUAACUUGAGUCAGUUUGGUUGGCUCCAAAUUGUNNNNNNNNNNNNNNNNNNNNNNNNNNNNNNNNNNNNNNNNNNNNNNNNNNNNNNNNNNNNNNNNNNAGUUACCUUUCUGUGUUGCGAGGCGUUAGGAUUUGUGAGUUAUAGGCACAUAUGGUGUGGUGUUACAUAUUUGCUUUACCGUGGUUAUGAUGAUUUACUUUGGUUCUAGACAUCAAUUGCGCGUGGUCGUCAGUUUCAAGCAGAGUGACUUGAGGUGUUUUAUGUGGAGUAGUGUUUGGGUAGGAUCACGCGUUGCAUCAAAGUUAUGUGGAGGCAUGACCUUGCGGGUUAGAUUCAUGUGUUCUGUUCCUAUGAUGUGAAACGGGUUCUCAGCCUUGUGUUGUGGUGGUACUAGCGAGCUUGAGGUACAGCUCUUUCAUUUUAGUCAUUUUUAUGAUUGAGUAUGUUCGGACAGUUGCUUAUUGGUGCGCGUAUUAUGAAAGUUGUGGCUUAAUCCUGUAUUGAUGUGUCAUAUAACUAGAGUAGUGUGUUGGAUUAGAAGAGACCGUUGGGAUCAUUAAUGAAUACGAACAGAUUCGAUUUCAGCAUGUUGGAAGGAUAAUAUCGAGCUUCGGCUUAGAAAUUUGCUGUGGUAUUUGCCAAAGGAGAAGUGGCUUCAUGAAUGGUUGAUCUGGGAAAUGAUUAUGGCUUACCGCGUGUUUUAGUGAUCAUUGGCAGUAUAUGAAAGUGUUGGGAUGAGACUUUAGUUGAUAAGAGGUUUUCUAUCGGUAUUCGAUUGUUGUGUGCAGCUACUGUGAUCAGAAGUUAUCGCUACCAGUGUUUGAGUUAUGUGGUAUAUCUUGUUAUUGCACCCGAGGUUGCAGGUAUGGGUUAUUACAGCUGGUUUGGGCUUAUUCUGAAUAUAGAUAUGAGAUUCUAAUCUUGUGAAUGAUUUCGAAAGUGGAAAUGUGGUUCUUAGGUUUAUGGGCUCGGUUGGAUUGUGAAAUUUCAGUUACAUUAUGUUAUCGGACCUAUAUGAGAUAGGGUGACGUGGGAUCACCCCCAGGUAUAUGCAUGGUAGGGUUAUUCAGCGAUUGGUUGGCUUUUGGAACAACUCUGAGCAUGUUCGAGGACGAACUUAUGUUUAAGUGGGGAAGGAUGUAACGACCCGACCGGUCGUUUUGACCUUUUGCACUUGGCUUGCCAGUUCUCGGGCAUGACUUGCCCCGUGUGAUUUAUUAUGACUCAUGUAAAUCGUUGUUUUUAGUUUUCAGGGUAAUCGGCAUGAAAUUUGGAAGAACAGUUCUCAAUUUGAAGCUUGUAAUUCGAAAGGUUUGACCAUGAUUUGACUUGUUUGUAGAUAAUCUCGGAUCGAACUUUUUAUGAUUUGGUUAGCUCCGUUAGGUGAUUUGGGACUUAAGAGCGUGAUCGGAAUGCAUUUUGGAAGUCCGUGGAAGGUUUAGGCUUGAAUUGGCAAAAUUGAGAUUUUGGCGUUUUCCGGUUGAUAGGUGAGAUUUUGAUAUAGAGGUCAAAAUAGAAUUCCAGAAGUUGCAGCAGUUCCUUUGUGUCAUUUGGGAUGUGUGUGCAAAAUUUCAGGUCAUCCGGACGUGGUUUGGUUGGGUUUUGAUCAAAAGCGAAAUUCGAAAGAUUUUAGAAAGUUUGGCUUGAAUCCGAUGUGUUUUGGGUGAUUUGAUGUUUUUUGAGGUGUUUCGAUGAUCGGUACAAGUUUGAAUAAGGUAUUAGAAUAUGUUGGUGCUUUUGGUCGAGGUCUCGAGGGUCUCAGGGUGAUUUCGGAUGGUUGACGGAGAAGUUUGGAUUUUGUUGCAACUGCUGAAUUUGCCGCUUCUGGUAUUUUCGCACAUGCGGAUUAGGGACCACAAGUGCGGCACCGCAUAAGCGAAGUUUUAGUUGUAGAAGCAGAAAAGGGAUUGAGAAGCAGGAACCGCAGAAGCGGCUAUGUGGACCGCAUCUGCGGAGUCGCAAAUGCGGAAGUAUGAUCGUAGAUGCGUAAUUUUGGAUGUUUAGUGAUUUUCGCAGAAACGGGUAAGAGACCACAAAUGCGAUACCACAGGUGUGUGGAUUGACCGCAGAUGCGGGUCCUGGUGUCAUAAGUGAAAUCCGCAAACGCGAAUGUUUUUUCGCAGAAGCGGAGGUGCAGAUGCGCUUAUAGGAUCGCAGGUGCGAAAGAGCUGGGUAGAAGGUAUAAAAAUGCCCCUUCGCGAUUUUCAGUCAUUUGUUCACCAUUAUUGUGCGAUUUUGGACUCCAAGCUGUGAUUUCAAGAGGGGAUCAAGUGUAUCCACAGAGGUAAGCUACUUGGGCUUUAUACCUUGUGUU